UACCACAUCCAAGGAAGGCAGCAGGCACGCAAAUUACCCAAUCCCAGCUCUGGGAGGUAGUGACGAAAAAUAACAAUGCGGGACUCUUCCGAGUCUGCGUAAUUGGAAUGAGCACACUUUAAAUCCUUUAGCAACAACCAAUUGGAGGGCAAGUCUGGUGCCAGCAGCCGCGGUAAUUCCAGCUCCAAUAGCGUAUAUUAAAGUUGUUGCGGUUAAAAAGCUCGUAGUUCGAGUUCAGUUCCGGACUGGCCGGGGAGGUCACCGCCCGGUGCUUCCCCGUCAGGCUCCGAACAGCUUCCGUGAGUGGAAGCCAAGCCGGUUCUGCCGGGGUGCUCUUUACCGAGUGUCCCGCGCGGCCGGCCAGUUCACCUUGAAUAAAUGAGAGUGCUCAAAGCAGGCUACUCUCGAAUACAAUGCCCGAAUGUUACCUGCAUGGAAUGAUGGAAGAUGAUCUCGGUUCCAUUUUCUUGGUGGUGGGAGCCAGAGGUAAUGAUAAAGAGGGACUGUCGGGGGCAUCCGUACUACGACGCGAGAGGUGAAAU
rnacentral:rRNA from 1 species